rnacentral:misc_RNA from 1 species
GUGAAUCAUCAAAUCUUUGAACGCACAUUGCACUCUCUUCGGAUAGUAUGCCUGUUUGAGGGCCAGUAUUAAUAAAAACCGGUGUGUCGCUUCUUUGUGGCGCCCCGGAGUUUGGGUCAUCUUCAUAUUCUUUAGGUUUUAAGAGGCUUAUACUUGACUUUUUUUGUGCAUUAUAGAUGUACAUAAAUUCUUUUUUUUAUUCGUCUGUCUUAAUGCCCAAAAUCCUAUUAGAUGCGACCAUAUCGUGUGGUUUCGUGUCUAUAAAUUUUUCAUGAUUUGACCUCAAAUCAGGUAGGAGUA